rnacentral:rRNA from 1 species
CCUACGGGAGGCAGCAGUAGGGAAUUUUCGGCAAUGGGGGAAACCCUGACCGAGCAACGCCGCGUGAGUGAAGAGGGCCUUCGGGUUGUAAAGCUCUGUUGUAAGGGAAGAAGAUAUCAUAGAGGGAAUGCUAUGAUUGUGACGGUACCUUACCAGAAAGCCACGGCUAACUACGUGCCAGCAGCCGCGGUAAUACGUAGGUGGCGAGCGUUAUCCGGAAUUAUUGGGCGUAAAGGGUGCGUAGGCGGCACAUUAAGUCUAAGGUUAAAGUUCGAGGCUCAACUUCGGAUUGCCUUAGAAACUGGUGAGCUAGAGUGCAGGAGAGGGCAAUGGAAUUCCAUGUGUAGCGGUAAAAUGCGUAGAUAUAUGGAGGAACACCAGUGGCGAAGGCGGUUGCCUGGCCUGUAACUGACGCUGAGGCACGAAAGCGUGGGGAGCAAAUAGGAUUAGAUACCCUAGUAGUCCACGCUGUAAACGAUGAUUACUAAGUGUUGGAGAAAUUCAGUGCUGCAGUUAACGCAAUAAGUAAUCCGCCUGGGGAGUAUGCACGCAAGUGUGAAACUCAAAGGAAUGACG